ensembl:lncRNA
GUUCCCGCCUCAUCGAGGCCUGUUCGGUGUUCGGGGAAACGCACCAAUUGACUUUCUUCCCCGGAUUUAGAUGAGGGGACUGAUAACAACCCUCCGACUGAGAUUGCUAUUGAUCUCCUCGUCUGACUCUGGCCGAGAAAGCCAAUUAGAGUGUUUCCCAUAGUAAACUGUUUCUUCAGGGUGGGGGGAGGAGGGGGGGGGCAUUCGGGACCGAGAGGCCGAUAGCAUUCAGAUACAUCCAGUCACAACCCGUGGCACCACGUGGGGAUCUUAGAUGGUGAUUGAGGAACUCCAACUCCUCUCCCAUCUAAAUGAACAACGUCAGUAUAUAUGAGGAUCAAUCGAUUUCAGACGGUUCGGGAUGGUUUUUUAUAAACUGCCAGCCGUUAGGCCGCACCCUGCCCCACCCUAAAGCAAACAAGGUCUCCAGCCCUCUUUCAGGUGAGAGGGAAAGUUAUUUUUCUUCGUUGUGUGCCGCUCUAUUAGUCGAGACGACAAUUGAACACAUUCUACAGUUGGGUAAACACAUUGAAAACCUUCAAAUAUUUGAACGUUUUUUAAAAGUCAUGAAAUAUUGCUGCAGAAAUUUUGUGUGGCAGUCUAAAAAAGUAGACCCAGGGAUCUUCACUUUUAAAAAAUUAAAUAAAAGAAUAAAGAUGCCUUUUGAAUAGCAACAAAGAGGUAUUUGUUGGCCCGAGUAACUAUUGGUUUGCACGUUUGAAGCGUUUCCCCUCACAGAACCGUCGGCGCGGGUCUGGCACGCCGUCCUCGUCUUGGCGGGUUUGCAUCCGCGCUCACAUUCUUUUAUAUGGGAUCCAGUAAAAAAACAAGCUUUUUUUUCCUUUAAAAAAAAACACUUUAAUUAAUGCAUGCUGCCAUGUUGAGGAAAUACAUGUAAAUAGAGAGGUGGGGGGUUGCAGUUCUGUGCCGCUAUUUACAAGGUUAUCUUUUUUUGAUAAUCAUUAACCUUUUUCUGUUUUUUAAAACAUUUUAAUGAAAUGAUAAAAUGUAUUCAUCACUUCUGGCAUCUAGAUACUUAUUUUGUCGCAUUCUUUCUCAGACUAAGUUGUGAAUGCUCAUGCAUCCUGGGUCCUUGUUUUUUUGUAACGAAACCAUGGGACACGGAGCUGUGGGACACUGCUGCUGUAAUAGGGUUGAAUCUAAAGAUGAUGUAUAAACUCCAUCGACUGCGCACAGAACCACCUCAUGCAUUUAUAUGAAAGAACAAAGCAUGUGUGUGUGCACGGAAAUCCGAUCAGUCCGUUAGAAACAUCCACUCAACUAUUGAGGCCUCGCUUCCCUGGGACCUUUUGUGGAGCAUCUAAAUGUCAUUGAGCGUCAACUAAGAUGAAUGCUUUUGUAGUCUAAAUUAUGAAGGAAUCGCAUUAGCGAUGUUCAGAUGAAAAUUUUCCGGGUUCUUUUAAGUCACUUCAAACAUCUGUUGAAGAUGGGAUUUUACAUAAUUUAACAACAAAAUCGAGUGAGAUCUCUGCUUUUCCAUCCGGGGCACAAAGCCUUUUCCGUUUGCAAAGACUGCCUUGGAUGGAUGAGGUGGAGCCAUGAAGGACGAUCCCGUCCCCACCGGUCCCGUCCUCCCCUACUGUGCACGACUUCCCCACACGUACGUCGCUCCCACCAAAAGGGGCAGGCGGCAUGAACCGUAGGGGAACGUGGGGAAUGCAGAUGUGCGGAUUAGUCCUUCGUCACGCAUUCGCACUGGUGCUAAUAAAUAGCCAGCUCAUUUCACACCACGUUCCGCUGCGACGUCGAUGGUAUCGGAAAGCAGCAUCCCCGUCUGCCACGUGGUGUGCGAGCAGAGGGUCAGUCGAUCCAUCCGCGUUAUGUCAUAUCCGAGGGAAGGGAUAAACCGGGACGUCUGUACAAACAGAUGGGAUGACAAAUAGACGAGGAAGGGAAAGUAGAAAAAUAUAGAAGUGGAGGAUAACGGCGUGGGGAAGGGAAAUGAGAAACAGUCCUUGACCAAGUGCUUCAUUCAUUGUUUUUUUUUGCUUUUGUUAAUCGCUCAGCCGUGAGGCCUUUUUUACGUCGCAAUUACCUGGAAACUUGCUGAAUUGUCUUUUUUUUAAGAGGGCCAUUCUGUCGCUGACAAUUUCCCCACUCGCGCCUGAUUGCAGAAGAGCUCUUUUGUUUUGAUGGUGGGCCAAUUGGAGGGACUGCUCAUUAAUACAACAGGUUAACGGUUUAAGUAGCGUGUGUGUGUGUGUGUGUGUGUGUGUGUGUGUGUGUGUGUGUGUGCUGGCUUUGCUAUGGAAAUGUUGGCGCUGAUGUGCCAAAUCUGCAUGCAGGGGUUUCUGGAGUUUCAACGAGGGACUUUCGGAGCUGUGGACAGAAAGUCGGACGACAUUUGAAAAAUAACUAAAUAAUUUUUUGGCCUGUCUGUCAAACAGUGCAGGUCAGGGGGGGUCGAGGUCCAUCUGGGAAAGGGCCACGCUGAGGAAUUGGAGAUCUAAUUCAUGCCUGUUUCCUCACUGGAAUCAUUUUUGGUAUAAAACAAGAGACACAUUUUAAUGUCCAAGAGGAAAGCAAAGCACAGUUUUAAUCCUUUACAUUUUUUUGCAAUGUCUUUAAACUGCCUAUAUGUUGGGGAUACACAGGGAAGCAUGUAAUCUAGUGGCACUCUCAGGUUUUAACUUGUAGUUCAGGAAGAUCUAUUUAUAAUUAAUGUGGCUAAGUGUGAUAGUCUUUGGCUUAAAGGCCGGAGGCAGCAACAGUACAGUGAUUCAAUGAAUCGAAACGACUAUAUACUCCAAAAGGUGUCGUAAAUUGAGACUAAAGACGCUUACUCAAAAAGGAAAUAGCAGUAUAAAAAGGCACCCUCACCCAUUGAAGUGCUGCCGUCCGUCGGGUUUGUCGAGGCGCUCCUUUGUGAGCCACGACACCGAACGGGAAGCCCGACCGAUCGCUGCCAUCGGCGGGCGGGGUCACAGGGCGCUAAUGAGCGGCGGCCAUUUUCUCAGAAUCCAUCAAUCGCGGGGAGUGACGAACGAGCUCGGGGACUCGGCGGGUCUCGGCGUCGUUAACGGUGUUCCUUUUUUUCCCCGAUGGCCUCGUCGUCACUGAAGAGGCUUUCAGGCGCCUCGUCGUACCGGAGGUUCCCAGAAACGAUCCGAUCGAAGAGCGACUGUUUAUUUUGAAGCAUGGGAUUACGCUGUGUUUUUAAUGGACUCAUUGAGUCAGGGCGACUCAGUGUUCCACAAGGUCCUUCAUCCCGGCGGCGGUCAACCUUUUUAAUGAACACCCUUAAAUACGGUCCUCAGAUUCUGAUGUUAUCCCUGUACUUUAUGGCCUUUUAUGUUUAUUUAUUCGUUGUAAUGUCUUGUCAUGCCUUGUUGUGUGUAAGGUCUAUUGUGUGCAUGAACUGUUUUUGGUGGCAAACUGUUUCCCCCCUUUAGGAGUUAAUGAAGCUGAAGGUGAAACGCCCUCAAAGUGGGCUUUUUAUUUUAUUUUUUUGUUCAAAUGUUGUUUGCAUAUCAAUGCUCACUGAGCUCUCUCGCCCUCACAAUAAACAGAACUGUGCGCACUCAUGAUGUGACAGUUGGCUAAUGGCACACUGUACACCCAUCACGGACCGAAGCUUCAACGUGAAAAGCCAUUUGCUUCCGCAAAUGAUAACACUCUCGUCCAAUGGCUCUCAUUGCGCAAACGUCAGAAGCAUAAUUGAAAAGCACUACCUCGUCAAGGACAAAUCAACAGUGUGAUGUUUGAAGCUGCCUGCACUUGAUUGCUGGGGUAUAAUGUUGUCAGGCUGCUAAUCCACAUUUCGUGUUGAUGCCUCUCCUGAGAACGGUCAGAUCCACGGCGAUAUUAUUGCACCCCCCCCCCCCCCCCCUUUGAAUCAACAACAUCAGCAGCGUCGAAUGUGGGCGGCAUCCUCCAGACAUCCUGGUCCUCUAUCUGCAUAUGAAAGACGUCUCAACCUCCCACUUCAGAAGAUUUAAAUCUGCAGGCUGUAAACAUUCCUAUUCUACAUUUACACUUCGGAUCACAGGUCAGGGUUUUGGGUCCUUCGUUGCACUCGUGGUAUCGGAUCUUCGACUAUACUCUCUGCCCUUUUGUAUGAGCCUAUUAAGUCCUAUUAAGAUAACAAUUUAUCACAAGCACCUGCCUGGUGGAUAUUACAGCGAGCCGGUCUUCUGAUGGAGAGUUUAGGCCUCUGUUCUAACUCACAUUUCAAACUGGUUGCAACUUUGGGUGCUUAAAAGCGGCGAACAUUCAGUCCUUCCUAAAAUAACCCUUACUUUGCAUGUGUGCGAAUCUUAUAUAAUUACAGAACUCCAACUGUAAAUGUGAUUUUAACAAGUUGUGUUUCUCACCUCGUCUUAAUGCUGAAAUUAAUGGAUACGCGGCUAUUUCUGGCAUGGCGUUAGCGGAGACGCACAGGACACGUGUCAGCCUCCGCGGCCAAUUUGUAUUGGAACCAGAAUGACAGGUUGCCUAUUUAUAAAUGCAUGUAGACGCCGCCUGUGUGUUGAGAUGUGAGAUGAGUCGGCGUCAGUGCUUCCAGACCAUGUGGCUGUGAAGUCACUAUAGAAAGUGAUUUUCACCUGUCAACAUCUGGGGAUUAGUUAACUUAAAGGUGCCAAUAAGUAAUGGCGCCUCCACGUGCACAGAUGUUCUUUUAGAAACAAUUGACAGAGUUGGAUUCUACAAUGUUCUUGUGACACUGAUUCCCUCCCUUGUCUUUUCUCUCCCCAGGGAGGAUGUACGGCGGGACAAUACGACUAUUGUGCUGUCCUCCCCCCUGCUGUUGGAUGCUGACGUCGCCUUGAGCGUAACACCGGUAUCCGGUGAUGCAACGGUGUGGACGGGGAUCCUUUUACGUGUAGAAAGGUCCCGACAGAGCGUUAGAUGUUAAGACACGUUAACAUCAACAAUAUAAUGAAUUAAUAAUAUCAUCAGGCAUUUUAGAAAUGCAAUUCAUCACACCGUUCAUGUUCACACAGAGUCACAGCUGAGAAUUAGAAAGUGAGAAACUCCACAUUGUUUUGGCCCCUCGGCACAACGGACCUGGUAUCGGCCGAAAGGUCGGCGCUCUGCUGAAAAAGCCUCUGGUUCGUUUGGUUCCAAAAACAAACAAAUAACAUGCAGUAGCGUAGCACCUUUUAAAAGAAACUGGUGGUGCUUCCAGCCCUGUAACCACAGAUCGCACCCCUGUGGGUCGACUGAGCAAUAUGUUAAAUGUAGACACAGUCACCUUGUGGCAGACGAUUAACCGAACGAAGCCCUGCGACAUCACCAACCCCCUUUUUAAAAUAUCUACAGACGCGCAUCAAAGUUAACGGUGCAUCGGUCAACCAGCCAAGCUUCGCUUUUCCUUCAAGAGCAAAGGAAAGGUGGAGACUGCUGAUAAGGAGAGUGCAAUGGCUUAGAAAUGACAUGCCUUAUGUUUAAUUCCUUUCUUUUUAGCUUUUAAAAGGCAUUACUGGCACUCGUGGACCCGGGAUGAACCUUUUGGAACGAGAUAAUGAGGCACUGCCACCUGAAUGUUGACAACUGGGAGGAAAGCCACGAGCAGUGCUUUUUUCUUAUUGUUUUAGGUCACCUAUUCCUAUCCAGGUUAAUCCAAUUAAUAUUGAAAAUGUAAGAUUUCUUCAGGGAAGGUGGUCGGCCAAGAUGGCAGCCUAUGAAUAUAUUCAUAAUAAGCACAUGCCAGAAAGGUGACUCGGAAAAAAAAGUUCGAAGGACACAAUCAAAAAAGUUGAAAAUGAAGUUUUUAUUAAAUUGGGUUGAAAUUUCCAAUAAAGCAGCCGAUUUCAGGCAUUUCUAUCGGAUAAAACUGUUCCGCAAACAAGGCCCCGUAUUUCAUGCGGGGAGGCGAUAGUUUGAUAUAUUUUUAGGUUGCCCCGCUGAGCCCACGAUACACGAAGGUCAGGGGAUUGUUUCUCAGAUUUAGGAUUAGUGUGUCGGGUCACCGUGAGGUCCGAUGGAUUAAAAUGUUGUUGCGUUUCUCAAAAUAGCUGUAGUUACAUAUACGUUAUGUGUCUUUGGACAUGGAUCUUUAAAAUACGGCGUACACAACAAAAUAGGAUGACGCACACCAGGCGUUGGAUUAAAGUGUAUACUUACCUGUCAUGCACCAAACUGCACUGUUUGGGCAUUAACAGACGAAAAGGGAGAGAAAACAAAGAGUCUAAUCAGAAUUUUCCCACGUCGUGAUUGAUGUUAACAGCCUGUCAACAGACUCCAGUAAAAUCUCUUGUUUUCUUUUCUUUAACGAGUACAGAACAAGGGAAAAGGCUGCACUCAUAAAAAAAAAAGGUUGAUUAUGACCAAAAGGCUGAUUAAUCAGCUAAUUGAGGAAAAAGAGAGCAGAGCAGUACCGUUUACAAGGAACAUGAAGAACCUUGUUAUUGAACAUGAAUAUACGUGUUAUAUGUUCACCCUCGUAAGGAUUGGGGCAUGGUCCAGCUUGCCAGCUAAAGGGCAGGUAUUUAAUCAAUGCUUAUACAAUUUCGCCGGUGAAUUUCUUGCUGCCUCAUCUGCCGUACUUUAUCAUUUAGAAAAUAAACAGAAAUAUCACCCCAAAACAAAGACCUCAGCAUCCUCCCUAUUACAAGGGAAAUGAGUUCAUUGUGCCUGUCUCCGGCUCUUGGCUGCCUUGGGCAGCGGCCUCGUGUUCUGAUCCUAUCAUCAGCUAUUCCGCAUUCUCAAGCUCCCAGGAGCUCUGGACGUCCCCUGCAGGGGCCCGACUUACCCCGUAGCCCUCAUCAGCCCCGGGGUGUGAAGCCUCGCUCAGCUCCCCUCCAGCCCUCUCACUUCCAGCACGAGGCCCGAGGACAUUUCUGAGAGGUCAGGAACCCGAGAAGAGAACCCUCUCAGGCUUCGCGCUGUGACGGAAUUCCGAUCACUCGUUAUCUCCCCUUCUCGCUCUGUUUACGUCUGCUCACCGCAUCCUUCAUCCUGCAGAACGCCCUUGAUCAAGGUUUUUUUGGGGCGGGGGGGCGGGGUUGUGCUCGCUGUUUCUACCCGAAAGGUUCAUGCUUCACUUUAGCACACGGACGCGCCGCAUCACGCUGUGCGUGUUUGCGUGUGAAAGGAUGAAUUGAGGGUACGCUUGGCUUCUUGGAAAGGGCGCCAUGCGACUACAGAGCAUCGCCACGAGCAACCAAGAAGCUCUGAGUCAGACUGUGUGCGAUUUGCGCUCAGAGUCGUUAGUCAAUACCGGAUGGUUGGCAGACAUUUAGGGGCGUAUAUUCCGGUGUGACCGUGCACGGGGCAGGACUUUGACAUUAUGCGCCUGGUGCGCUGAUUUCUUCCACUCUGAGAUCAUUUUCACGUUGAAGUUAGUCUCACACUUUCAUGAAAACGCGUCUCUUAUCUUGAAAGGCAUUUAACGAUCCCGCGUCCAUAUUUUUAGCAGCGCUUUUAAAUCUCACAUCCUGUUUUGUCUGAGAUUCCGGCGAGGUCGACGGGUAGAUUUGCAUAGCCUGACAUAUGGGUGUGAAUAUUAAUGGACUGUAAAAAAGUGCUCUGAAUAGAUUUAAAUCUUUUUUAGAGAAUUGUGCUGUCUCAGGUUUUUGACGCUCCUGAACCACUCAUGCGUUCUCAGUCAAGAAACUCCAAAAGGCUCCUUGACAGUUUGGCAGGAUGAUGCUCCACUUUACCGGAGAAGACAAAGACUUCAAAGCGUUAGUAAGAAAAUCAUGAAAUAAUGAUGUUUUCUGAGGAAUUACUUGCUUAAAAGCACCAUUUGAAUUUAGGAGAAACCAACAGAAACUGCACUUCAAAUCUGGAUCUUGAUGUGUGUAUUAAUAUGUGUGCAGGUUAAAAUAAAGUUAACACAUCACUUGUAUCUUCAGUUCCUAACAUUAGUUAUUAAGUGUUUUGUUGUCUCAAAGAGAUGUGGUAGUAACCACGCGGUGUACAGAGGUGCUUCUCAGCGCCUCCCAACUGCUCUCUGUGACCCUAAGCAUGUUUAUGAGGUCACGUGUUCGCGCGCUGAAUCAGCGCCAGUAAUGACAUCAAGCUUCGGGUCGUCUUGUGUGCGUCUCAAAGUACACUGGAGGACAGAUCUUCUUUUCGGAUUAAACACUUGCUUCUUUCCAAGAAACUUUUACUCAAAAAGGGCACAAAUCUUACAAACACAACCAGGGAGAAUGUGCACCACCUUCUUCCAGGCCGACAAAGCCUCGGCGGGGCUUUGGGGCGAUGAAAUGUUAAUGAGCAUGCGAUAUAAGAUACGGUAUUAAAUACGGUGCGUAGAAAGAGUCACGAAGAAGACAGCGAUUUGUUAAUGGAAGGGCGGGAACAGAGACGGGAUGGGAGGAGGAGGAGGAGGAGGUGGACGAGGAGGAGGAGGUGGUGGGCAGAAAGGUCCUGAGGCCUCCGGCCGCCAAGCCCCGGGGCAUCGUCCUGGAGAAACACAAGACUAAUGGGGGGGCGGGGGGAUGUAGAGUGAAAUUGAAUGUUGCCUCUUUGUACAUGACUCCGUUUACGAGGUGGGGUGUUUGAGAUGAGAGAUGAUAAAAAAAAUAAAAAAAAGGAAAAUCCCCCAGCAGGCAUUGAGCGGUGAUUUUUCUCAUCCAUCACCAUGAGAGAUCAUUUCAUUCCUCUUUGUUGCUCGGAGGAGGAAAUAAGAGCAUGCAAUCAUCUAGGAGUCCUUCCUAUCGCCUGUACAAAACAUUUUCAGGGGUGUUGAACGCAUCGUUCAAAAUGCCUUACCAUUAAUGUAAAUCAGGGAUUGAGGGCGAACGAUCAGCGGUUUAAACGAUGCUACAAACUUGUUCAGGUCAAUCCUGCAAACUUCAAUCCUGUUCAUUUGUUUCUUUCAUGGAAGUUAACUUUAAAUGCAGCAUGUCAUUUUAAUUCUGCCUACCUCGUCCAGAUACUGCCAUCCAGGUUUUUUAAUUUGUUGCUUUCAUUUUAUGUUCACUAAACAGUCACCCUGUUCUGGGCUUUUUAUGUUUUUAACCUGCGGUUAAAUUACAGUCCUUUUUUAUUUAACACGGCUCUUCUGAUUUGUUUUGGUGAAAACCGUCUCCGCAAGUUUGAGAAAAAAUUAAAUAAAAAAAUUACGUAUAAUAUCUAUCAAUCAAAUCAUCUUCAUCCAUCACAUUACAAGUUAGUCUUUAGUUUUCCUUUCAAGAAAGUACUUUAAAUUGAAAGGGUUGGUGAGUAACCAGUGUUGGGAAAGUUACUGAAAAUUAGUAUUUAGUAACAGUUACUUAUUUUAAAGGUAAUUGAAUUACUUACCAGUUACUGCGUAUCAAAAGUAAUUAGUUACUCUGGAAAGUAACUUUUAUGUCUGCGUUUUAAAUGUAAUGAAUAUAAAUACUACUGAACAGUCAAACACAAUAAACAUAUUUUUUAGACCUAUUUAUUAAUACAAAAUAACUGUUUCAGGCAUUUGCCUGAAGGCAACUGACUCGACGGUUGACAGGAUGCUUCUCAUCUUCAACACAGCGAGCGAUCAAUCUAUUCAGCUCUGCCCGGUUUAUCGGCUGCACUGCAGUCCGUGUAAAGUGGAGCCCUGGUUGUUUGCGUGGAGCGGCGCCUGCAGCAUCCUGCGCUCUCUCGUCAUGAGCGACGCGAUGCUGUUUACGUGCACGUACGGCGACUAUUCUGUGACACACAACGUUUGGUGGCCACAACUAUUUUGUGCUGACAGGCAGCUGUUUACUUACUAUUUGCCGUCCCUCCGCUUCGCGUCACAAAAGAGAGUAACGCGAAUUCAUUUCAACUUCAGUAAUUGUAACUGUGUUAUUUAAAAGAAUACUUCGUUACAUGCUCGUUAACUAAAAGUAGUGGAAUUACAGUAAUGCGUUACUUUGUAACACGUUACUCCCAACACUGUGAGUAACACACGUCUUUAAGGCUUUUUCUGCUUUCCACGACCAAGAAUUUGGUUCCGACCACCUGAAGAGAAUGCAUUUAAGUUGAUUUCAUCUAAUUUGGGAAAUGAAUCUGCUCCUUGUUUGACUGUGACUCAACAAAACCUUUCUCUUCCUUUUGGGGGGCGAUAGAAGCUUUGUGAUUUCAUCAAGGAGUCUGUGAUUGGUAAGAGCCAUUAGUAUUGUUAAAUAUGAAUCACUCUACAGUUUGAAAAUGUACAUUUUAUUUUAUUACAGCGGCCGUUGAUUAUUUCAUCAAUGACACCUGAUUAUUCUGUCAAUUACGUCCCAAAGUUUGACGUUAGUUCCCCACAGAGCACUAUUUAUAUUAUCCUUUGAGUGAGUGUGAGGAGAAAAAAGCACUUGUGUGGCAUCUUGGCACAUUGUGUCCGUUUGUAACGACCCGGUCUCUGAAUACUUCCCCGCGGCCUCCGACAGUCGCCAUUCGCCCGCUGCACUUUAACAUCGCCAUGGUUACAAGGAUUCACAGAUCUGCCCAGGAGAAACAAAGUCGAAGUUCUUUACAGACCAAGUUCUAAUGUCACUCGGCUCGGAUCUACAGUCACUGUUGCAGUAAUUAUUCUUCUCAGCAUGAUCAUAGUCGGCUUGCGCGAUGACAGCAUAAUUAACGGCACCUACUUACAGCAGAUGUUGCAUCACUCAACACAAAAUAGGCAACGAAUAAAGAACAGUAAACGACAAUGAAUUGUUUGGCAUGUGACACGGACACUGUGUGCAGAGCCGAUCGGAGAGGAGAGUCCGGACAUCCGUUAAUUAUCAACUGUGGCCAAACGUCUGUUCCUGCCAAAAACAAAUGUGCUGCUUUCCAGCAGACACUGUGGACCGGUUUGUGAAAAGCGUGGAAUACCUCCGCGUGUUUGCAUUUAUAUCACAAGCAGACCAAAGUCAAUUUUCACAAUGUCAUCUGGGGCUCACCCUCAACACGCCGGCACACGAUUAUUCCGCUCCAGAGUUGCUGAUGCUAACAACUCAUUCAUCCGUUCACGUGUCACAUGACUUUCUCCCACCGUUCACUUUCUUGCUUCUAUUCGGUCACCGCUCGUCUGUUCUUGCUCUCCUCGACUCCAUCGCCACUUAAUUGCCUGAUUGAAGAAGUACUCCGAGCUGAGUUGCUGGAGUGAAAAUGUGCGAUGUUGUUGAUUCGAGUCAACUGCGGCAAUUUAGGUUGUAACGAUGGAGGCUGCUCAUGAGAAGCUCGUCCUCCGUCACCUUCAUCUCUUUGGUUCGGCCACUGCAUCCGUGUCAACAAUUUAGGUGGAGAGGUCAGCGUCUGCUCCACCCUGCUAGAUGGAACGGAGGCCCGGCAGGGGGAACCAGAACGGGGCAGAACAUCAAAAUGGAAAUCUCCCUGUUGAGACUUUAGAGGGAGUUUGUUGCCUUUAAAGUAUGAAACCUGAAACCUGAACACGUAUGACCUCUUUAAUUGGUACAGCGUAUGUUUUUUGCUCAAUCUGUCGCCUGUGUUACUAAGCGAUGUCAGCGCCACUCCCCAUGCAAACAGCUCCACAGCGCACGGAUCGCUCUCAACGGGAAGGAGCGUCGUUCAUCUACAGCAAAGAAUUCACCCCUCCGCCUCCGAGUCGCCUCCUGUAAUCCAUGCAGCCAGCCCAACUUGAAACACACACACACACAACGUGUAGCAUAAUCAAAUCCCAGCAGCCACCAGUCAGUAUGCAAACCAGAGAAAUAAAAACCUUCGCCUUCUGUCUGUGUUUUCACCAGCUGCCUCUUUUUAAAAAUACCGCCCCCAACCUUGAAGAUAUUGCCCGUCCCUGCUUCUCAAUAUAACGUACGACUUAUUGACUCGCUCUCAGGUUGCAGGACCGCAAGGAAAUCUAUAUAUUAGAAAGAAAAAACAGACGCGCGGGGGGUUCGGUGGGGGGGGGUAAGGGGGGGCGCCUUUACCCCGGAAAUAAGCUUCCUGUCCUUGUCUAUGAUUCAGACCUGACAGUUUUCAAAUGCACACCGAAGAGCUGAAUUGCAGCACAGCUUGCGAUCCUCCGCCCGCGGCCUGUGUUCACCUUCCCCUCUGCAGACUGAGCCCGUGCGUGUUCGGCCCACUGGAUGUGAUUAGGGGGAUGUGUGUGUGUGUGUGUGUGUGUGUUUGGGGGGGGGGGGCACACAAGGCCGGUGUUAGCUUGCGUGAUCACGAUUGCACCCCCUCUCUCUCUCUCUCUCUCUCUCUCUCUCUCUCUCUCAUGCAAAUCAGCUGCGAUUGGAUUCACAUCGACAUUUUCGCCGCGUAUCAAACUUCACCUCAUCAAAUGUACUUAACAUGACUUCCCGCUACUUUCAGCCGCGGCACGGUUUUCCUCUUCGACCUCACCUGGACAUUUUGCAGGUUUUGGGUCGUUGAAAUCCGCCCCUGGCUAAACCCAAAUGGUCAGUGGGGUGAGAAUGAAAAGCUGCUCACGCGCGUUCACGGUGAGAAUGUUCGCACGCCGAGUUAGAUCAAAGCUCGGCCGCGGCAUUAAACAUUCAGGUCUUUCUGCAAUGUCUACCGAGGGCAACGACAGUAUAAUUAAGGUGGGACAGAGAUCAGUGUUACGGCAGAUCAACUGUGAUCCGGAGAGGCCGAUGAAUCAUAGUAAUGGUUUUAAAGUACAGCUGCUGGUCGCUUACACAAACUGUGAACCUGAAAGACAAUAAAGACAAACCCCCACCCCCCUUCCAUGGGGGACAAACUAUUUCCAGCUUUACGGUGGUAGAUGAUGCUAUUUUCGGAAAUAACUGUUGUACAUUUAGACGAUUAAAUAGUCAACACCAAUGUUUGAGGUGUUAUAACAACAGGUUGUUUUCAGAGGAAAAGGAGGCCGUAUUUUAAUUUGGUGCUAAUUGGUUCUGAUCAAAUCACUGCCUGGUAACAUUACUGUACCAUCAUAAGAAGUGCUUCUGGGAUUUAUAUUUGUAUUUCUGCGUUUCCUCUAUGACUGGUACUGGCCAACUCUUGUUACAAAAGGAACUAAAGCAGAGGUCGAUUAUCUAUCGAUUUCUCUAUUUUAACUUGUAUAUCUUCGUUCUUCCUACGUGCAGUUGAGGAGCAGUGCGUCUCACGUCUUCAGAAACCACAGCGAUUAUUCAAAGCGGCAAUGUAGAGCAAAGAGGCAAACCACAAGAUUUGCUUUUAAGAAAACAUACCCACUUAAAUGCAAAACGAAGGCACAGACCAUAAACCCGAGAGCCAAAUAGGAUCAGAAACACAUGGAUUCAUUGCCAGACAAUUAUUUUAACAGAUAGAAGGGAGCUGAAACAAAUGGUUUCAACAUCUUUUUAGAAGAAGCUUUCUGCUUUGUAUUUGUUUCUUAAAUACUUAUUUUACUUAAAAUGAGCAAAGAACAUAUAUUUAUUAUUAGAAUAUGUGUUAUUUAGAUUUGAAAACUGGCAAUAAACGCUGUUGAGAUAUCAAACUUUCUUUAUUUUAUUUUUUCCGCAUACAGAUGUUAUUACAACCGCUGGCUACUUCAAUGGCACAAACUCUUCUCGAAAAGACAUUACUGUGACACUCCGGAUGUUUACAUGAGGGAAUUCUCUCCCAAUGGGUCUCGUCUAACUUGAAUUGAUGCUCCCUGAAGGAAAGCAUCUGAUCUUAAAUCACCAACCAGCCAAACUGGAAAGUGACUUAUCCCCUCCGAGACAUGGAGCUGAACGAAUGAAAGGGGACUCCAAUAAGCUUUGUGCCUCCUUAGCCUCGCCAUCAUGCGCCUCCUAGAAUAGUCAUGAGAUAGAUUUCCAUAUUUUACACCGGUGUCUUUCCCAUUCAGCCUCUCCUCGGCUGCUCCGGAGCGACCGUCUGUGUCCUCCUGUAAUCCCGAACCGGGGGGGAGGGGGAGGCUCCCUGAGGACGACCGCCGCGAGGGCCUCCGCCGCCGCCAUAAGCUUGCAGUCCGCCGGGGGGGGGGCCACGAAUCCGGAGCCCUCCGUAACACAUGAACGCAUGGAUGUUUGUCUUGGCUCAUGGUGAUUGGGAGGACAACAUUUAGGAUAUCUUAUUCACUUGGUUCCUUUGUAAUCGUAACGUAAUAAGAUUUUUAGGUCACACGCAAAAUCUUUUGAAUGAAUUAUGAAUAAUAAAUCAAGCUCAUCCUUGGAGACGGGGGAGAGGAGCCGAGGCAUCCACAGGCUGCUGGAAGUUAAGCGCCGAUGGAGCAAGUCGCGGUCGCUCUGGCAUCUUUUAUUCAGCGCUUAAUUUGAGGCGGAGGUGUUUCCAUCCAGCCCUCAGUGGUGUCUCAAAAGUCAACCCCUGCAUAUGAAACGUUCAUCUGGGAAUAUUAGUUUUGGAUGAUGGUAUUUUCUUGUAUUUUACUGGUAUACAAGCUCCACUAAUCAUUAUGUUUUCUGUCUGUCAAACGGCCAAGUGAAAACACAAUGACACCCAGCCAUUUCUCACACAUCUAGCGCAUGCAUUUUAUUUUUAACAUUUGAUCAUGUGUGAUCACCAAUUGAAACUCGUAACAGCAGGACGGGAGAGGAGGUGAGUCUUGGCCUCUUUUUCAGAAGCGGAUCAUUUGAAUCCUGCGUGACGAAGCCUGGAAAAGAAUCGGUCAGCAAAAGGAUUCGCAGUAAAAAAAAACUGCAAAAAACAACGGCGACCUCAUCCAGCACAUCUUCAGAGACUUACUCACACAUUCCUCUUGUUCUCACGUGAGUGAUAAUUAAAUGUUGAUAUCAUUUCAUUUUGAAAUUGCAGAGUAGUUUCCUCAACCCUCCGGGGUCUCCCCAUAGUUCGCCCUGACGGCACCAGUGAAUGAGACGGCCUUAAUCCUCUGAACCUUCAUCUGAAUCAUUUAGAGAAUUUGCAGACGUGAAUAACUGGAUGGAGACUCCCGGGGUGGACCCUCAACACAC